AUACCAAUCUCAGUUACGGGAACUAUUGAGGAGAAAUCGGCAUGAGUGGGAGCAUUCCAUCUUUCACAACGGUCAGAAUGUUUUAUAGAUGUACUCAAAUACUAGAUAUACCAUAGGACUAUAACCACAGAAACUAGUUGACAGAAUCAAGGAAAGACAGUGGAUAAAUCGGCAAACGACUUAUCAUUUAAACAGCUCAAGGUUCAAGAUUUACGCACCUCAAGAAUUGCAAUGUAGCAACGUAUUCUGGA